rnacentral:lncRNA from 1 species
UAUAUAUAUAUAUAUAUAUAUAUAUUUUACAAAUAUUAAUUCAUAGAAUCACAAUUGAUUUUUCUUAUAUUUCCAUAGUAGUAGAUAGUGGUUUCUUGUUUGGUGGAUUGGGUUUAAAUUCACUGAAUUUGGAAUUCGAGAUCUUCAAAAUUAAAAUGACUCUAAGCAAUUCAACUUUAGGUCGUUGCUAGUUUCUUUUGUUUACAAAUAUAAAUAUCAUUACCAUUUUCUGCAUGGUGGUUUAGUAAUAAUAUCAUUAUGCUUAAAUUAUAAGGAAUCCAAUUUGAUUCCACCAUAGGUUUCUAGAGAUGCAAAGGACUGUUUUUAUCUCAACUGGGGCUAUUGACAUAAGAAGUUGCUGAUGUUUCUACUGACUUAUGGGUUUUGUUCCUAGGAUAGCCAACAUGGUGGCUUAUGAUUUAACUAAUUUCUCCAACAUUGAUGAUGAUAUUGGGACACUUUGGACUGAAGAAAUGCCUGAUUCUAUACGGCCUUUCAUUUUAUCUGAUGUUUCUUCCUUUUCUGGAUGAAUGAAAUUUCAGUUUUUAUUUUCUCCAAAAGUAGUAACCAUGUUUAUGGCUUUGGUUGUUAAAACAUAUGCCGCUAUUUGAAUUUUCUCACAGGGUCUUGGCUUCUUGACUAUUUCUUCUUUCAGUGCUUCUAAUUGCCCAAGCAUCAAUACUUCGACAUCUUCUUGUUCUCCUAGCCAAUUUCAAGUAGUUUUCUUUUUCUUUUCCCUAUAUUUGGUAGCUUUUGGGCAAGGUGGGUACAAACCUUGUGUUCAGGCUUUUGGAGCAGAUCAAUUUGAUGAAAGAGACCCUAUGGAAAGCAUAGCCAAAAGCUCUUUCUUCAAUUGGUGGUUUUUUUCUAUGUGUUCAGGCAUCUUAGUAGCGCGAUUGAUCUUAAUCUACAUACAAGACAACCUUAAUUGGACCUUUGGUUUUGGAAUCCCAUGUAUUGUGAUGGUCAUCGCACUAUUUAUCUUCUUGCUUGGAAGUAAGACGUAUCGCUAUAGUAUCAAGGUGGAAGAAAAAAGUGCAUUUCAAAGAAUUGGACAGGUUUUUGUUGCAACCAUUAGAAAUUGGUGCUCUUCUUCUUCAAUAAUAUCUUUGGAGGAAGAAGUUUGUCAAUCGCUACCUCAUCAUAGUUCUAAUCAAUUCAAGUAAGUAGAAUAAGCUUCUGCACUUGAAAUUAUAAGUUCAAGAGAACACAAAUGCAUCAACAUGUCUAGAAAUUAAUGCACAUGUUUUUGGAAUGAACAUUUAUUGUUCAAGUAACCCUGAGCUUUAUAGUAUCUUCCUUCGUUAUAUUUAUAAUUAGUGACCCCCUAAUAGUAGUUAUAUUGAUUUCUAGAACUUACAGGAUGUGUGUUUCUAGUAACUAACAAUUCUGCACUUUUCUUGUUUGAUGAUACGGAUUUGAGGAUUUGUUAAAGACUCGUUCUGAGCAGCAGUCUUUGUGCAUGGCUCCUAGAUGCUUUAUUUCCUUUAAGAGAUUUUCAUUCAGCCACUCAAUUGUAAAGUAAAUACUAGAUUGUGGUAUUGAAACAACACUUAGAUCUCGGAACAAAAUGACGUGUGUAUCUCAAAAAUUUUCUACCAAUAGGGAACUCUGAAGCUCCUGAACAAUUAGAAAAUUUUAGCUGCAUCAAAACUCAUUCUAAAAUAGCAAAUUGGUUCUGAUAUGCCAGGUUCCUUGACAAAGCCCUGUUUGAGUGUAGCCUUAAUGAAGUUGAAGAAGCUAAAGCACUAUUUAGACUUAUUCCCAUAUGGGCUUCAUGCUUGUUAUUUGGUGUUGUGGAUGCACAGUUCUCAACUUUAGUUACUAAGCAAGGAGCAACUAUGGAGAGAUCAAUUUCCCCAGGUUUCGAUAUACCACCUGCUUCACUUCAAUCUCUUCCCACCCUCACUAUUAUUUUAUUCAUUCCAAUCUAUGACCGCAUCAUUAUUCCCAGAGCAAGGAAUUUAACCAAAAAUCCUUCUGGCAUUACAAUGCUUCAGAGGAUCGGAACUGGGAUGUUUUUCUCUGCCCUGUGUAUGGCAAUUGCUGCUGUAGUUGAGAUGAAGAGGCUCAAAGUCGCUCGAGAAUUCGGACUAGUUGAUAAGCCAAAUGUGACCGUUCCAAUGAGCAUUUGGUGGCUGAUUCCUCAGUACGUCGUGGAUGGAGUUGCUGAUGUAUUGACCUCAGUUGGUAUGCAAGAAUUCUUCUAUGACCAGGUCCCCAGAGAAUUAAGAAGCGUGGGUCUUUCUCUCUAUAUCAGCACCUUCGGUGUAGGAAGCUUUAUUAGCAGUUUUCUCAUUUCUAUCAUUGAGAGACUCACUGGAGGAGAAGGCCGUGAUAGUUGGUUUACUAAUAAUCUGAAUCGAGCUCAUCUUGAUUACUUCUAUUGGCUAUUAGCUGGACUAAGCACUGUCCAAUUUGUAGUUUACUUGUAUUUUGCAAAAAAAUAUGUAUAUAAAAGGUGAGGUAAAAAUCAUAUAUUUCGAGAGAUAUAUCCAGAUAAAUGUGUACAUAUAAUAUUGUUGUUAUAUAAAUGGAAAUUGUUGCCUACCUGUAAAAUUUCAUUUUAUCCCAAUUUUGAUGCAUGACUGCAAUCUUGGAAACUCACAAUCAAUUUUUUUCAGAUAUAUUCUGCUUUAAUUGGAGUUUGAAUUUAAAACCUCUCCAUUUAUCGAGAGUUUCAGUAUUAUAUAUUUAAAGACAAAUUGAUAACUCAUAUUCUAUUUUUCUCUGUUCAGAUUGCGUGUUACAAUUCAUUUUGCUAGAGAUCUUAUAGUUUUUAGUUUUAUUUUAUUUAUAAAACGGUUGUCUACAUUUAGAAAUCUAUUUAUAGCCAAAAAGAGAAAAUAGUCUUGGAUCAUAUAAAUAUAAUGGCUGUAAUUAAUUUUAAAAAAUAUCAAAUAAAUAUUCAGUAACCGGUCCUGGAUUGUCUAGUUAAGGCUUAGAGCUAAAGCAAUCAAAAUUCAUCUGCCGAUGAUUUAGAAGCAAAUCACCAAUUUUUCAAGUUAGGGUUUGAAUUCCAAAAUUUUAAUUUGUGAAAAUUACACUACAUUUAAUACGAAUAAAUUAAUUGGUAAUUAAUAGAUCUUAAUUAAUUUAUUGUCAUCUUUUUAUUAAAAAGUGUGAACAAAUUGAGUUAAAUUAAAUUUUAAAGAGUUUAUAUUUAAUUUAUUAAAAAAAUUUUAAAUUUAAAUUAAAUUUAAAUUUUAUUAUUUUAAAUUUAAAUUAAAUAUUAAUAAUUUUAAAUUUAAUUCGUUUAGUAAAUAAGUUAAUAAAUUUUGAUGGAGUCUAAUCUUAAAUAGCUUUUCUGAUUUUUUGGUCUGUCGAGAUCUUAUAGGUGAUGGGAAAGGUUUAUCUUUAAGAAUAUCCUUUACCCACUUAGGUUUUGGAUCAUCUAUAGUGAGCACCUCCUCGUCAUUAUCUGAAUAAUUGUGGAGCACCUACACUCUUCAUCAAAAUAAUUUUUUAAAUUAUAUCUCUAAAAUAUUUUUAACAAUAUAUUUAACUUAGUUGAAUAAACAAAAUUUUAUAAUAUAAUUCUGAAAGUAUAAAAUAGCAAAUGAAAUAUUAUAUUUCUUCAACGUUUUAAUUAUUUAUAAUUAUAAUAAAUUUUACUUUAAAAUUAUUAAAUUUAACCAUUUUAAAAAAAUUAAUAAGUUUAAAAUUAAAUAAUUUUAAUUAAAUAUAUAUAUAUAUAUAUAUAUAUAUAUAUAUAUAUAUAUAUAAAUUAACUUUUAAAUUUAUAAAAAAUAAAUUUUGUAUAUAUAAUAUUGUCUUUGUUGCCAACUUAUAAAAUUUUGAGUUUAUCUCUAUUAAAUUUCUUUUCUCCAAAUUAUCAAGAGAUGAGAGAAUGGUAUGGUUGCUUUAUCUUUUAAUCGGAAGUAGGGUCGUGCGGGAAGCCAAUUCAUCGACAGUAUCGAAAUCGAAUCGAUGGCGAUUUCGAUAAAGAAUUGAUGGGUUAGAAUUAAAUCAUAUUAAAUUAAAUUUAUUUAAAUAUUUAAUUUUAAUUUUUAUUAAGACCGUAUCAAAAUUGAACUAGAAUAGCACGGAAUUCAUACUAAACAAAAAUUGUAUCAAUAUAUAUAUAUAUAUAUUUAAAUAAUUUAUAGUGAUAUUAUAAUUUUAAUAUAUUUUAUGUAUUCUAUAAUUUUAAUAAAAUUAUAUAUAUAAAAUUAUAAAUAACAUUAGUAUUAUGUUUGAAAUAUUUAAUUAUUUCAUUUAUCUUUAAAUUUAAUUAUAAAAAUUAAUUAUCGUGUCGAAAUUGAAAUUAAAAUAAAAAUUAAUAUUAAAAUUAAACUGAAAUAAAAAUAUGUGAAAGUGUAUUGAAAUUCGAUUCUAGUUAUGAUUUAAAAAAUUUAAGAAACUGACCUUUAAUUUUGAUUUCAUAAAAAACUGUCUUGAAGUUGUUUUGAAACUGGAACUGCACACUCCAAAUCAGAAGUUUAGAGUUUGAAUUUUUAGAAUCGGAGAAAAUGAAUUUAUUAUUUUAAUAUAUAUGUCGGGUAAAUAUGAAUUAAUUAGGUAAUAUAUAUAUAUAAUCAUGCUUCAAUCCUGUAAAAUCAUGUCCAAUGUUGUGUUGGAAUAUUCUGCAGCUCACAAGCCUGGAAAUUAACCACAAUUUAUCUCACUUAGGGCUUGUCUAAAUGAUAAAUCAUAAUUUGUUUAUAUUUAAAUAAUUAUUAAAUUAAAAAGAACUAAUUUAAAUGAAAAUUAAUUUACUCAAAUUAUUUUAAAGAAUAUAUAUAAAUUAGACAUUUAUCUGCACAUAGGGUUUGUGUGGAUACUUUUAGUUUUUUAAAAUUAUUAAUAAAAUAAAUAAUAAAAAAGUAUUUAAAUAUAGAAAAAUGUUCAAAUGUAUAAAAAGAAAAAUCCAACUUUUAAAAAUAUGCAAUAAAAAAGUAUUAACUCUGAAUUUUUUUAUGAAAAUAUAUUUAAGUCAUUAUUAUUAUUAUAUUAUUUAUUUAAUGAUUAAUUUAUUAUAUAUAUUUAAAUUAUAUUGGUAAAUAAUUAUGUAUAAAUUACAGGGAUUAAAUUUUAAAUAAAAUAAAGAAAUUCUACAUAGUAUACAAACAUUCUCCCUCCAAAUAAAUAGAAGAACAAAACGACAGAGAAAAAUAAUAGUAUAAAAAAUUAUCACAGGUCGUUGUGUGAUUGAAGUUGCCGCUUCAGUGCUUUGUUAUUGGUCAUUUGCUCGUGUUCGCCAGAGCUCAGUGCUCUUGUCAGCAUCAUCAUCGCCAUCACUAGAGCUGAGAAGAUGCCCGUCGCUAGCGCGUCCACGUCCACGUCCACCUCCGAUUCACCGGACGUCCAAGCUCCUAUACUGUACGACACCGUUGAUUAUAAAGGCCUCCCCGUCAAUAAAUCUUACUCCGGUGGCUGGAAAUCCGCCUCUUUAAUAAUAGGUGAAACUUUAUCUUUUUGUUGCAUCAGAGGACUUGUUUAUGAGUUUGGUUGAUUUUGAUGUUUGUUUUUUGCGCAGGAGUGGAGGUUGCUGAGAGUUUUGCAUACUAUGGGAUUUCGUCGAACCUAAUUGCAUUUUUGACCGGGCCGCUUGGUCAGUCGACGGCUACUGCGGCGGAGAACGUCAAUGCCUGGUCAGGAACGGCGUCGUUACUUCCUUUAUUAGGUGCAUUUGUUGCCGAUUCUUUCCUUGGGAGAUAUCGCACCAUUGUUGUUGCUUCUGUUAUCUACCUCUUGGUAAAUUCCUCUGUUUUUGUUUUAUGUUACCUCCACAGACUUCUAGUCCAGUUGCUUAUUAGUGUAAACUGUGGUUAUGAAUAUAAACAAAUAUAUGGUGGGUCUUUGAAAUUUAUUUUAGCUCCCCAUUUCAAUUUCAGAUGCUUAGUUUUAUUUCCAAAAAGUAAGUGCAUAUGCGAAUUUCAUUUUUGGAUCAAGGAUUUUAAGUUUGCUAUGAUUUUAGUGAGAGAGUUUCCUAUGUGAUACUUAAUACGACUGCUUGGUGUUGAUUUUUAUGAUUUUAGUGGGAGAAAGAUUUUUUCCCCACUUUGUUGCGUACAAAUGUUUAGCAUAAUCUGUUUAUUAGUGGGUUUUUAUGGCAUUAGUUUUAAAAUAUAUGCAUUUUUUUUUUGGAAUUUGAUCACAGGGACUUGCCUUGUUGACCCUAUCAGCAAUGUUCCCUUCUCACAGUGAUUCUGAUUGCCCUAUCUCCAGUACUAUCACAUCUUGCUCUCCUCAUCCAUUUCAAGUAGUUUUAUUCUUCUCUGCUCUAUAUUUGGUAGCACUUGGGCACGGUGGGCAUAAACCUUGUGUUCAGGCUUUUGGGGCAGAUCAAUUUGAUGGACAAGACCCUGAGGAGUGCAAAGCCAAAAGCUCAUUCUUCAAUUGGUGGUAUUUCUGUAUGAGUUUGGGCAUUUUAGUAACAAUAUUAACCUUAAUCUACAUCCAGGACAAC